GAAAGCAAAAGACAAUCUGCACAUAUCCAAAUGGAGCCACGGAACCGUUGGAAUAGUAAGAAAUAAGCAGGGCUUAAAUAGGGAUGUCUAAAGUGCGGACAGUCUAAAAAUGGAAUUUGACAAGAAAACUAAAAAAAAAAAAAAAAAACUACAACAGCAAAAAUGAAAAAUCAGCAAUAAUUUUUUUUUAUGAGAAAUAUUUUUAUUGAAUUUUGACAAAGUAAAAAACAAAUGCACACAAUGUUUGCUGGUAGUUUAAAAAAUCAGCAAUAAUUUUACAAGAAUAAUCUCAAAAUAUUAAGAGAAAAAAGUUGUCAUCUAACGAGGAAAACAACACGGGGAAGAAUAAUGUCGCUUUAGUAGCACGAAUUUGAAAUAUUUUUGCUAAAAAAGGAUGAGAAACAAACAAAACUAAGAAUAAAGUUGAAUUUUUUUGUUUAAAAUGAGGUUGGGGGAAAAGUUGUAAUAUUACAAGAAUAAAGUCAAACUAUGAUGUUAAUAAAUGCAUAAUAUCACAAGAAAGAAAUUUACAAAAAGAAAGUUGUUGGAAAAUUAAAAAAAAAAAAAAAAAAAAAGCAGCAGAAAUUGAAAAAAACGGCUGUAAUUUUACCUGAAUAACAUCAACAUAUUAAGAGAAAAAAGUUACAUUUUCACGACAGUAAACUUGUGAUACUGUCUGAGAAAAUGACAUUUUAACAGCAUAGAGUUGAAAUAUUAAAGAAAAAAUACAUUUUUUGAGUCAUAAUAUUAUGAGAAACAAAACAAAACUUUACAACAGAGUAUGAGGGCCACACUGAGAAAGACAAAUCAGAGUUUUCGAGACUAGAGUUGUAAAUUUACGAGAAAAAAAGUCAGAAUAUCAACAAAAGCAAAAUCUAUAGUGGCUGUCAUUCUAAAUCCUUUGACUUUUGCCCCCAAUGCCCCACUGUGUCCAAGAACACCAGUUUCUAGUCAACGUAACGUAACAUAACAUCAAAAAGUUUGAAUGAAUGAAUAGAAAAUGACAUAAGUUAAAAUAAGCAGAGAGAUUAAAGAUGAGUAAGUACCAAAUGGAGUGUUAUUAGUGUUCACGUGUCAGCUUUUUGUCGUUACAUUACGCCUUUUUGUUCUUUAUUUUUGCGAGCAUAUGGACAUGCCAGUUUGUUUGAGUGUCUUUGUCAAUAAAGUUAUCUUCAAAAGUAUGACGUCAUUUCACCGGUUUUCCUGAAAACCUAACUUGAGGACUACGAAUUUUCCAGAAAAAAACAAUCAGACUUGCCUUUUAAACAUUUUAAAUGAAGUCAAAAUUAUUUAUGUGAUUUCUGUCGUUGUUGCUAAUUAAGCUGUACUUUUCAUUUAACGCGUCUCGUGAAGUGUUUUUUUUAAGUGUGUUGUUGGGCGGGAGGUGUUUGCCACAGCACCGGUUUCCGGAAACAAAAAGUUCUUCAUCACUUCCAAGGUGAGUAUCUAAAACAUUAAAACUCAAUAGUUUUUAGGAUUAAAUGUACUGCUUUAAUAGCUGCUAUGUUCCCCAGCUUGGCCGAAGUGUCGAGGAAGAUGCAGGCGUGGCUGGCGGUUAUCUCCGUCAUCUUAACCGGUUGCUGCACUGGGUCAACCAUUUACAAAAAGGUGGGCGAUGAAGUGGUCCUCAGGCCAGAUGCGGCCCCUGAGGCCGGCCCCUUCACCAGCAUCAUGUGGAAGCACGGAGAUGACAUUGCCAUCCAGUGGGAGGGUGGAAGCACGGAGGGGUAUCGUCAGUUCAAAGCUCGCGCUACGCUGAACCACGCCAGCGGGGAGUUGACCAUCGUGGGGCUGACGCAGGAUGACAGCGGGAGAUACACGCCUGAGAUCAACUAUGUCACCACCACGCCAGCUCAUCUCCUAGUUCUCUCGUCCGUCCCCGAGCCCGCUGUCUUCACGUCCUGUGAUGCUGAGCUGACAACGUGCACUUUGACAUGUGCCGCCAACACCGCAGACGCCGAGCCCGUGACCUACACCUGGAAGUUUGGCCAUUCCGUGGAAAGCAACUCGUCGAAGGAGUACAGGAUUCGAAAGGACAGUUCAAGAGCAGGCGACAUCAGCUGCGAGCUGCAGAAUCCAGUAAGCAGAAAGGCCAGUCGGUCUACUCCAAACCCAUUCCUCACUGUGAGCGGAGACGGCAUGAAGUUCAACGCAGGACUGACAGUGUUCAUCUGUCUGGUGACGGCAGUGGUGCUGCUGGUGCUCUUGCACAAGUGUAGAACAGGCUUGUGGUUCUUCCAAAAAGAAUCCAACCCAUGGGAAGCAGACUUCUGGAAGAGGCGGGAGACGCGAGACGGGGGUGCUGUGGAAUCCAACGGCAGAACAAGCCACCAUCAGGAGACCACACGGGUGGAAGAGGAAACAGCGAUGACAUAGACGGCCGUCACGUGUCAUGGGUCGUUUAGCAGCGAGUGUGAAUGACGGCGUAACAGCUUGGAGAUCGGGAAGACCUGGGUUGGAUUCUCCCCUGGGCAUUUCUGUGUGGAGUUUGCAUGUUCUCCCCGUGUGCGCGUGGGUUUUCUCCGGGUACUCCGGCUUCCUCCCACAUUCCAAAAACAUGCAGGUGAGGUUAAUUGACGACUCCAGAUUGCCCAUAGGUAUGAAUGUGAGUGUGAAUGGUUGUUUGCCUAUAUGUGCCCUGCCAUUGGCUGGUGACCAGUCCAGGGUGUACCCCGCCUGUCGCCCGAAGUCAGCUGGGAUAGGCUCCAGCAUGCCCCCGUGACCCUAAUGAGGAAGAAGCGGUAUAGAAAAUGGAUGGAUGGAUGGACAUGUGACACCAUCACACCUACACUAAUAUUAACGCUUUAUUCUCAUACAUUUAACGCUUUAUUCUCUAAUCUUUUUGUUGUUGUUGUAAAUGUAAAAAAAACAAAAAAAAACUCAAAUUUAUGACUUUAUUCUCGUAAAUUAAAAAAACUAUUCUUGUGAAUUUACAACUUUAUUCUCGGAAAUUUAUGACUCAUAAAUAAUAUUAAAAAAAAAUUCGCGUAAAUUUAAAACUUUAUUCUCAAAUGUAUGACUCUCGUAAAAAACAACUUUAUUUCUCGGAAAUUUACAACUUUACUCUUGAGAAUAAAUUUGACUUUAUUCUCAUGAAGGUAAAAAAAAUAAAUAUUGUAAAUUUACAACUUUUAUCUUGUAAAUGCAUUACUCAAAUUUACAACUUUAUUCUCAUAAAUGUAUUACUUUAUUCUCGUUUUUAAAAAUUCCUUGUAAAUAUACAACUUUAUUCUUGUCAAUUUAUGACUCGUAAAUUAUAAAAAAAACAUUCUCGUAAAUGUACAACUAUCAUAAAUUUUAAAAAAAAUCUCGUAAAUUUAUGACUUUAUUCUCGUGAAUGUAAAAAAAAAAAUUCUCAUAAAUGUACAACUUUAUUCUUGUAAAUGUAUGAUUUUAUUUUCAAAAUCUCCGGUUAUUUUUUCCUUCAAUGUAGCCCUAACAUGCCGUCAACAAAAAACGGCCAGUAAGUUGAAAGUUGAAACUGCAAGGCUGUGACACAAAAAAAAACAAUGACAGUAAAAAUGUGAUUUGCCUUGAAGACAUAAUAAAUGUAUUUGAUAGUAUAUGCUAAUAUACACGUAUAUAUCAAUGUAACUGAUGCAUUUUUUAUUACAUGUUUUUAUUGUCAAGCUUGUGUUUUAUGCUUGUUACUUUUUGACACUUGCAGUGUAAGUUGAAACUGGAAAAAACCCAAGUCUGAGAACAUGCAACACUUAAAAAAAAACAAUGAUAAAUAAAACUAAUCUGAAGAUUGGCAUGUAAUACAAAAAUACAAAUGUAUCUUAAUAUAUUAUUUCUAUUUUAUUGCUGUACACUAGGUCCCCAACUUACGAACAUCCGACUAGCGAACACUCGCCGAUACGAACACAAGCCGACUGGUCUAUAUUUUAUUUUAUUUUGCAUUGUAGUGCUUAGGCUGCUCAAUCAGUACAGUGGAUUUCUACUGCUACUGUACAUGCUUGACCAGUAGAGGGCACUGUGACACUGCUAAUGGGACCAACAUAGGCAUCUACUGUAUAUGUAUACACGUACAUGUAGUACCUAUAUCAUUGGUAAUAUUACCUUUUCCCCUACUUAAGAACGAUUCGACUUAAGAAUGGUCGUCUGGAACCAAUUGUGUUCGUUGGUUGGGGACUUAGUGUAUAUAUAAUUGAAGUUGUUUUCCAAUAUCCAAACUUCAAGUCAGUGUUCUACGCACACAUCCAUGCAGGAGCUGCUUCACGUCUGCAGCUGCAGAAAGAUCUCAGACUUUUCAUUUAAAAAAAAAAAAAAAAAAGCAAUCAUCCGCUGAGGGGUGCUGACCAAAACACAGCAUGAAAACCAAAUGAGAAAGUCCAGCACAGCUGAGCAAACAACACAGACUGAGACAAAGUGUUCCCAUUUCAAGGCAGUGACUCCUCAGAAACCACACGGCAAAGACAAUGAGACCAGCUACAUUUCAUCCUUUUAUUCUGAAAACAAACAAAAAUCUGGUUCCAUUUGUUUUACAGCAAUCGGGCAAGUUCACAGAUAUCAUUGAUCAGCAAUAUUCCAACAUCAAUUUACAUUUUCACAUAUAAUCCUACUCAUUGCUUCCAUUAGUAACACUACAUUCCCAUCAUGAUCCAGCACCACUCCUGGGGGGGUCAGAGCAGCCAAAAUGGAAAAACUUCCAAUGUGGGCUGAAAAUAAAACAACUCAAGAUCCUUUAUUCAUCUUCAAAUCCCACCUGUUUCAUUGCAUUUGUAGCUAAAAACUAUUAACAAGAGCAUUUGGUGAGUUCGUGCACCUGACAUGAGUGCUGGGAAUCAGAACUUCUUUACAACGUGAUCGUCCCUGCUAAGAAAAUUAGGAUUAGGAUUUAGCGUGGUGCCCUCAUGAUCGUGCUGACACAACAGCAGCUCAUCCUGGCCAUCGUGAGGGAGGGGUCCCCCAACACUGACGUUUAAUGUCAUUAAAAGUGCAUUGGAUUAAAAAAACCUUUCAUACGUGACACCUGUAUCAGCUAGCAGGUGAGGCACUCGAGCACCAGAAAGGCUCAUUCAAAAGGCUUAGACGUUCCUCAGAGGUGCAGGACUUAUGUCUUGGCAUUGUUGCUGCUGGAUAAAGGUUCCGCUUCAGCAGCGACGUUGCUGAGCUCAGGCGGCUCGGACCGCCGGCCUGCCCUGCCUUGGUUCCUACAGUGACGGAUGAUCACGACGGCAGCGCUUACGAAGUAGAUGACGGUGAGCACGCUGAAGUAAAUGAAGUACACCAGGAACUGGAAGAGAGGACACCCAGCCCAAACCAGUGGAACCAUCAAUCAUUUGGAUUGCUUUUGUUUUCCUGAUUUCUUUCACACUUAAAUGUUUCACAUCAAACAAAUGAACAGUUUUCUCUCUUAAUAAUCAAAAGUUUCAUUUAAAAAGUGCAUCAAGUGUUGACUUGUGUUGUCAUUGACUAAUAUUUACAUUUGUUUGAUGAUCUGAAACAUUGAAGUGUGGCAAACAUGCAAAUAAAAACAAAAAUAAAAAAAACAGGAAGGGAGUGGUUCACCUGACUGUGCACAUCCAAAGCCAGGCCCCGCCUAUCAGCAAAUAUCAGGUUGAUGAUGGUCUUCAGGAUGGUUCCUAAGAAGGUGUUGAUGCCAAACACCAGGGCACAGAGCUCCUUGGUCAGCGACGACGCUAUCUGAAAACUACACAGCAGGACAGUGAGGUCAAAGGUGACAGCUUUUGGUCGUGUCUUGCUGUAAGACGUCUCAUCUAAGAUGUUUCCUUCAUGUUGCUUUCACAGAACACAGUCAAGUACAAAGUCAACAACUCUGGACCAGUGGUUGGGAACCUUUAGCCUCAAAAGAGCCACUGGGCCCGAUUCCUCCAAAUUAAAAGCCACCUGGAGUUGCAAGUCCUUUUACAUAAAAGGGCCCAUCUGUCCAAUAUUGUUGGCAAAUCUUUGUUAGUGAGCUUUCGUGUCCACCUCACAGCUGUGGCAUAUCAAGAUGCUGGUGAGACAGCACCAUUCAUGCCUUAGUUUGGCCACAAUAAAAAGGCCACUCCAAAAUGUACUGGGGGUGAUCGGGAGGAGUCCAAAAUCUCCUGUGACCCCCAUUUGCCUAAAACACGGUAUACACCGAUCCAGAGCAUCCCAAACAUGCCCAGUGGGUGACAUGUUGGGUGAGUAUGCGGACCAUCAGGCCUGUCACGGUAACAAAUGUUGCGGGUCAAUAAUUGUGCUACAAGUUAUGGGCGAUAUUCGAUAUUAUUGGCAACAUUUGUGAUACCAUUUUUUUUGUGAAAUUAUUUUCAUGAGGUGUAAUUCACAUUUGAGCCACUAGAUGGUACUCAAGUAUACUUUGACACAUUUUUUGCUCUUGUGACAGCUCAAAUAUGUAAACUAUACCAACAUAAACAACACAAAUGUUUUGGGGUUUUUUACAUCAAAAUAAUUGAUUUACAAAUACAACACCAUGAACUAUCUACAAUUGUCACAUUUGGAACUGACGUGUGCACGCAUGCACGUGCUUGUGUGCAUGUGUUAAAAUGUCCCUACAAUGUGCACGCUACACUCCUUCACGCUCUCUCACUUCCUCCUUCCUGUCAUGUGUGUUUUUUCCCAUCCACUUGAUCUCUUCAUGAGCUCUGAUUAAAUGCACUUCUGCCACCUUGUGGCCAUUUUUAUGGCUUCAAAUUGCUCUGAAAUCAAAUGCAUGAGUGGGGAGUUGUGUCAUCCUUUGCCUAUAAAAGCUGUAUAAAUACUUUGUUGAGGUUUAUAAAAACGUGUGACUACGUGUUCGGAGUCCAAUGAGUUGAACUGCACAUUUUUGCGUGGCCUUCUAUUGUGGCCAGCCUAAGGCAUACCUGUUCUGCAUCUUGACACUGUGACAGGUGUGGAUGGAUUUGUCAACACUGUUUGACACAGAUGAGCCUUUUGUGUCCAUCGAAAAAGUUUGACAUCUUUGAGUUCCGCUCAUGAAAAAUGAGAGCUAAAGUGCUGUGUUUGCAUUUUCCUUUUCUGGCUUCCUGUUCCUCCUGGCAGAGUGACAAGCCACACCUGUUGCCACCUGGCAAUUAGUCACGUUUCUUGAGGUCGCCCUUUGCACCAGUUAGAUGCGGGAUUAUUCUCUCCUGAGCUGUCGUGUUGCCACACUUCCCCUUCUCCACCAUUGUUCUCCUUUUCCGUUUCCACAUUGUUCAGUUAUCUUUGCUGUAUUUAUGCGUUGAGGCGAGCCCCAUCCUCCCCCUCCAGAUCCCCUUUCUCAGCGUGGCAUACGUCUCCAAAAGUUCUAACCUUGCAUUGCGGCGACGGCUGUAAUUGGUUGACCUUUGGUCCAUCAUUUCCUGUGUUGAUACAACUCAUUCAGAGGGUGAGCGGCUCGCCUUCGCAGGCGCCUUCUCCGUUGAUUUCAGGGUCAACAUUUGCAAUAAAAGUCUUGCAACACAGAUUAGUUCCACUUUUAGGACUGCUUUCGCUCUCUUCAGUUGCCGUUGUUCAUGAGCGACAAAGGAAGCUAACAAGCUAAAUUGUUGACCAGCGUCACGGUGUCUCACCGGGAGACACUCCCACUGGCACUCAGGCGGAGAAUCGCACGGCACGCACUCGGCUCAUGACGGUGUCAGAAGGGACGGCAUAGUGACUACACAGGAGCAUAGACCAGCUUUCAAAUAUCGAGAUUUCCUUUAAACACGAUAUCAAAAGCAAGCAUGUCGUUCAUAUCCAAAUACUGUAGACUGGACAUCGUUUACACUCGGGAGCAGCUGUUAGCUUUGAGCCACACACGCCUUCGCUACACUGAGCGAGCGGAGAUACGGGGUAGGAGAGGCUGCAUAGCGGGAGUGAAGCGCCAACAGCGGAAAAGACGGUAUAGACCAUGUUUAGCAUCUGUUUAGCAUAUUUCACUUUUUCUAUACUCAUUUCAAAAAGAGAAUGGACUAUUUUAUUUCAGAGGCUGUUUUUGUGCGGAUACAGAUGUUUCCAGCAUUCUUCAUUUGAUUCUUAUUUGUCAAUUUAUUAAAGAGAUAGUUUGGAUUUUUUGACAUGGUGUUGUAUGACAUCCGCAUCAGCAGUGACUGGACCCCUCUGGCUCCCCACCCAUUUUGUUCCGUGAGCAGAGUUCUGGACGGAUUUCAGUAAGGAGGAGCCUAGUUCGUUAGUUGCUGGGGUUACUUAAGAGUUUGGCUUCUGAAAACAACAUGCGUUCAAAAGAGUGAUACAUUUGCAUCACAAAACCGUUGCUACCAAAAGAGUCAAACCUCUCAGUCGCUCGCUGUUACUUCCUCUCUGUUGGUAUCACUAUGCGCUCUCGCCCGUCCAUCGUUGUGCGUGUGUGUUCCACAGUGUUUACAUGCACGGUGGAGACUGCUGCGACUGAGGAGACACACACACACAACGAUGGACAGGCGAGAACAGAACAAAUCAGCUGAUAUCGGAAUCUGCAAUAAAGUGCUUGGCGAUAUCAGUUUAUUGUCCUCCUUCCUACUUAUUCCAUCAAAGAUGCUCUGGACUUCCCCAACAGCAGCAACAAUUGCUCAAAACAUUUUAGCUGGACCUGGUUUUAGAAGGGCUUAUGGGCAAAUACAUCUGCACUCACGUGGCAAUGGGCACCAGGAACUGGUGGAAGCCCCUGAAGAGGACGUAGGACACGUAACAGACCCAGAGGUUGUCGGUAAUGCCCAUCAGCAGCAGAAGGCCAGCCUGCAAGGCCGUGAUCACAGCGAUGACCAGCUCUGACCAGAUAUUCCACCGGAUUUUCACAAAGCCUGCGCUGAAGGCGGCCAAAGCGCCUGCAACAGAACGACCAUCAACUUGCAGACGGUACACACGUUGGUACACUGAAGCUGGAGAAAUCUUACUCAGUAGGGUAGAAGCAGCCUCCACACCUCCGUUGUAAACGUUCUUGUUCUCGGUGGAUAUGGAGAAGUUGCUCCACAGGAUGUGGACGUAGAACAACACCAGGUAGUACCCCGUGGAGUUGAACACCCACCACAGGGACCACAGUCGCAGGUUGGGUCUAUACACCACCGUUCUCAACUCCAUCAGCAUCUGCACAAAGAUGGAAUCCUUCCAGCGGGAUGCAGAACAGGGCGUCAGGGCGGCGGUCAACCCGCCACCCUUAGGAUUCAUCUGGUCUAGUUCUGCCUUGCUGGCGACUCGUGCCGCCACCUCUCUGUGCUCCUGCUUCCGUGCCUGGUUGAAGAACAGGGAGCGCCGUGGCCAGGGCAGGCAUAGCGACAGCACCAGACCAAAGCUGACAAAACCCAAAGAAAUAGCGCUGAGGGUGGUGUACGUGAUCUUGCCCACGGAGAUGAAAAGCUGUCCGAGCACGGAGCUGGUGAACACUCCCAAGAGGACGGAGGAGCGAGAGUAGCUGGCCACGCGCUGGUAGAGGCCAGGAGUGACCAGGGAGAAGAUGUAGGAGGAGUACGCCACACGGCACGCCAUCGUGACGCCGUAGAAGAAUUCCAUGAACUGCAUCUGAAUGAGCGAGGUACCCAGGAACAGAAUGAGCCAGAUAACCACCUGACUGACACCCUGGACGACCAGAACUGGUUUGUAGCGCAGAAGAUCGGUCAGCAGGAAGGCUGGAACCAGCACGGCCAUGUAGGAGUACGUCAGCACCGGUGUGAUCUCAUUGGUCACCUAAAAUUGCAGAAAGGCCAGGAAAAUGUCAUCAACUUUGUUUCUGCAGGGAGGAUUUUUUAGGUGUUGCAUGAAGAGCAAGUGGUGGUCAAGUAGUCUUACAGCAUCACUUCCUGCAGUGGCCGUCCAUGAAGCUUUGUAGAUGGCUGGUGAGUGGGCCAGGGAAUGAGUUCAUUAGCUAUAACUAGAUGAUUGCAAUGAGUUUCACCCAGAGUUCCUCAAGGCUCUGGAUGCUGAGGGACUGUCUCGGCUGACACGUCUCUUCAACACUGCGUGGAAGUGGGGAACAGUACCUCUGGGUUGGCAGACUGGGGUGGUGGACCCCCUAUUCAAGAAGGGUGACCGGAGGGUGUGUUCCAACUAUACUCCUCAGCCUCCCUGGGAACGUCUAUUCCAGGGUGCUGGAGAGAAGGGUCCCACCGUUAGUUCCAACCUCGGCUACAGGAGGUGCAAUGUGGUUUUCGUCGUGGUCGUGGAACAAUGGACCAGCUCUAC